AAAACAUGCCGAGAGGAGAGGGGAGGACCUUAGUAUGAAGAUUUAAUUAUGUCUCUUCAUUGCAGGCAACUCACGCUUGGGAAAGAACACCAUCAUUUUGAGAUUUGUAUUUUAUUUACAAGUAAAUGAAGAAAGUCUCCUAUAACCUCUAAUUUGGGGUAAGAAGAGCAAUAUAAAGAAGUAGCUGCUGGCUCCACAGCGUUGUGUGAAAGCAGUCCCUGUCACUGUUUCUUUAAAUGAUGAUUUUCUUAUUUAAAAAAAAAAGAACCCACGUAAUUUCUUCAUGUUGUAUACGUGGAAGA